UACGGGGGGAGCAAGCGUUGUUCGGAUUUACUGGGCGUAAAGGGCGCGUAGGCGGCCACCGCAAGUCGACUGUGAAAUCUCCGGGCUUAACCCGGAAAGGUCAGCUGAUACUGCGGGGCUAGAGUGCAGAAGGGGCAACUGGAAUUCUCGGUGUAGCGGUGAAAUGCGUAGAUAUCGAGAGGAACACCUGCGGCGAAGGCGGGUUGCUGGGCUGACACUGACGCUGAGGCGCGAAAGCUAGGGGAGCGAACGGG
rnacentral:rRNA from 1 species